UGGCAGCCCUAUGAGGGUGGAGAACAGCCAAAACUCACCCGCAACUUCAGCCAAGUAGUAACAUUGAUGGCAACUGAAGUGAGGUUCAGGGGGGUUCCGGAGGUCCCUGCGAAAUCCAGCUUCCUGGACAACUUUAACGUCUUGCUGAAGUCGUCGCCAAGGUUGGUGGUCUUCGAUGUGGCGGUGUUAUUUACAUGGGCCCCUUCCACGUCCCACCCCAAGACCACGCUGGACAAUAUUAUGGGCAACCAAAAUCCACCUGUAUACAUACAACAAGGUACACUUUAAGGUUCGGAUAUCUGGUGGUCUAGGAUAUUGAAAAGGACAUUGACAGCAUCCACAGUGGUCUACAGUAGUGAAUGGACUACUGCCAGAAUACCUGGUGGCCUAGGAUCUAGUCAGAGAAACCCCUGGGAGGACACUGUGCUUAUAUUAGUGGAACCCAUCAAUC